rnacentral:rRNA from 1 species
UACAGAGGUCUCAAGCGUUGUUCGGAUUCAUUGGGCGUAAAGGGUGCGUAGGCGGCCCGGCAAGUCGGGUGUGAAAUCUCGGAGCUUAACUCCGAAACUGCAUUCGAUACUGCCGUGCUUGAGGACUGGAGAGGAGACUGGAAUUUACGGUGUAGCGGUGAAAUGCGUAGAUAUCGUAAGGAAGACCAGUGGCGAAGGCGGGUCUCUGGACAGUUCCUGACGCUGAGGCACGAAGGUCAGGGGAG